rnacentral:rRNA from 1 species
GUGGGGAAUUUUGGACAAUGGGCGCAAGCCUGAUCCAGCAAUGCCGCGUGCAGGAAGAAGGCCUUCGGGUUGUAAACUGCUUUUGUACGGAACGAAACGGUCCGGGUUAAUACCCUGGGCUAAUGACGGUACCGUAAGAAUAAGCACCGGCUAACUACGUGCCAGCAGCCGCGGUAAUACGUAGGGUGCAAGCGUUAAUCGGAAUUACUGGGCGUAAAGCGUGCGCAGGCGGUUUUGUAAGACAGGCGUGAAAUCCCCGGGCUGCACCUGGGAAUUGCGCUUGUGACUGCAAGGCUGGAGUGCGGCAGAGGGGGAUGGAAUUCCGCGUGUAGCAGUGAAAUGCGUAGAUAUGCGGAGGAACACCGAUGGCGAAGGCAAUCCCCUGGGCCUGCACUGACGCUCAUGCACGAAAGCGUGGGGAGCAAACAGGAUUAGAUACCCUGGUAGUCC